GCGGAAAUAGCUCAGCGGUAGAGCAUCGCCUUGCCAAGGCGAGGGUCGGGAGUUCGAAUCUCCUUUUCCGCU
rfam:Pelosinus sp. TFO1, complete genome.